rnacentral:rRNA from 1 species
GAGUUUGAUCCUGAGCUCAGAGCGAACGCUGGCGGCACGCUUUACACAUGCAAGUCGAGCGAGAAAGCGGCUUCGGUCGCAAGUAUAGCGGCGGACGGGUGCGUAUAACGUGGAUAACCUGCCUUAAGGACCGGGACAACCUUGGGAAACCAAGGCUAAUACCGGAUAUGACCACGAUGUCUGAGGGCAACGGGGUAAAAGAUGACCGUUUACGGUUGUCGCCUUUUGAGGGGUCCACGUCCUAUCAGGUAGUUGGUGGGGUAAAGGCCUACCAAGCCAAAGACGGGUAGCCGGCCUUAGCGGGUGAUCGGCACACGGGGACUGAGACACGGCCCGACUCCUACGGGAGGCAGCAGUGGGGAAUCAUUGGGCAAUGGGCGAAAGCCUGACCCAGCGAUGCCGCGUGAGGGAAGAAGGCCUUCGGGUUGUAAACCUAUGUCAAGAGGGAAGAAGGGUCUGCAAAUUAACCUUGCGGGCUUGACUGUACCUCCAGAGGAAGCCCCGGUAACUCCGUGCCAGCAGCCGCGGUAAUACGGAGGGGCAAGCGUUGCUCCGGAAUUACUUGGGGCGUAAAAGAGUCCGGAGGUGGGGUCUUGGGCAAGUUGGGGAUGUGACAAGCCCGGAGCUUACAACUCCGGGAAUUUGCUUCCAAAAUUGUUUGGACUUUGAGUCCAAGAGAGGUUGGGG